rnacentral:tRNA from 1 species
AAGUCUCUAGUCCAACGUAAGAUUAUUGAUUUCGGCUCAAUAGAUUGUGGCUCAAACCCACAGAGACUUA